CAGGCCUAACACAUGCAAGUCGAGCGGGCAUCUUCGGGUGUCACACGGCGGACGGGUGAGUAACGCGUGGGAACGUGCCCUCUGGUUCGGAACAACUCUGGGAAACUGGAGCUAAUACCGGAUACGCCCUUUUGGGGAAAGGCUUGCUGCCGGAGGAUCGGCCCGCGUCUGAUUAGCUAGUUGGUGGGGUAACGGCCUACCAAGGCGACGAUCAGUAGCUGGUCUGAGAGGAUGAUCAGCCACACUGGGACUGAGACACGGCCCAGACUCCUACGGGAGGCAGCAGUGGGGAAUAUUGGACAAUGGGCGCAAGCCUGAUCCAGCCAUGCCGCGUGAGUGAUGAAGGCCUUAGGGUUGUAAAGCUCUUUUAUCCGGGACGAUAAUGACGGUACCGGAGGAAUAAGCCCCGGCUAACUUCGUGCCAGCAGCCGCGGUAAU
rnacentral:rRNA from 1 species